CGAGUGGCGAACGGGUGAGUAAUAUAUCGGAACGUACCUAGAAGUGGGGGAUAACGUAGCGAAAGUUACGCUAAUACCGAAUACGAUCCACGGAUGAAAGUAGGGGACCUUCGGGCCUUAUGCUUUUAGAGCGGCCGAUAUCUGAUUAGCUAGUUGGUGAGGUAAAGGCUCACCAAGGCGACGGUCAGUAGCUGGUCUGAGAGGACGACCAGCCACACUGGAACUGAGACACGGUCCAGACUCCUACGGGAGGCAGCAGUGGGGAAUUUUGGACAAUGGGCGCAAGCUGGAUCCAGCAAUGCCGCGUGAGUGAAGAAGGCCUUCGGGUUGUAAAGCUCUUUUGUCAGGGAAGAAACGGUGAGGGCUAAUAUCCCUUGCUAAUGACGGUACCUGAAGAAUAAGCACCGGCUAACUACGUGCCAGCAGCCGCGGUAAUACGUAGGGUGCAAGCGUGUAAUCGGAAUUACUGGGCGUAAAGCGUGCGCAGGCCGCUUUUGUAAAGUCUGAUGUGAACUCCCCGAGGCUCAACCUUGGAAUUGCAUUUGGGACUGCAAGGCUAGAAUCUGGCAGAGGGGGGUAG
rnacentral:rRNA from 1 species